rnacentral:rRNA from 1 species
CGUGUAGGCGGCUAGAUAGGUCCGUUGUGAAAACUCGAGGCUCAACCUCGAGACGCCGAUGGAAACCAUCUGGCUAGAGUCCGGAAGAGGAGAGUGGAAUUCCCGGUGUAGCGGUGAAAUGCGCAGAUAUCGGGAAGAACACCCGUGGCUAAGGCGGCUCUCUAGUACGGUACUGACGCUGAGACGCGAAAGCGUGGGGAGCGAACA